GUGCUCGUCCGCGCGCCACCCACCUCUCGGCUCCGCUUCUUUGACAGCUGCUGGUCCUCGCGCUCAGUCCGCCCUCGCGUACCGGGCGUGGUGCGAACACGGCGUGAGGAACACGGUGCGGCUGCGCGCUCUGCGUUCAUCGGUGCUCCUGCCGGACUCGCUCUUACUUACCUGGGCGCGCACUCACCUGCCUGGGAUCUCAGCGCCAUGGGCUCUGUUUCCGAGGACCUCCGCAGGCUGCUGAACGACUGCGAGCUGUUUGUGGUGGAGAUCUUAAGGGACGAGAACCUGAGCCAGCAUGCCAGAGAGACUCGAGAAAUCCUCAUGAACAACUUCCAUGUGGUCCACUCCAGAAAUCCUCAGGAAUUUCCCUACAGAUCUGACUCCAGACAAGAGGACAGCUCAGAUGACAACCAGAGCUACAGCAUCGGCCGCUCUGUUCCCUCGGACGAUGCGUCGGUAGCCUCGGACUACCAGGAAGAGGUCUCUCAAGAGUACUUUGAAGAGAUUCCCAUUGUGGCGGCUCAGGAUCUCAGCAACAUCCUGAAACAGGGCUUUUUGGAAAAGAAACGGAGGGAUCACAGUUUCUUUGGUGCGGAGUGGCAGAAACGGUGGUGUGUCCUCAAUAAUACCAUAUUUUACUACUUUGGGAGUGAAAAGGAUAAGCAACAGAAGGGCUCCUUCCACAUCAACGGCUAUAGCGUGGAGCUGGUUUCGAACCUGCGCAAGGACUCCAGGAAGAAUGCCUGCUUUGAGCUGAGUGCCCCUGGACGGCGCUCCUAUCAGUUCACUGCCAGCAGCCCACGGGAGGCCAGGGAGUGGGUGGACCAGAUUAAGUUUGUGCUGAAGGACCUGAAUUCCAGCUUCAUUCCGUUUGAUGACGAUGAGGAAGAUGAGGAGGACGAAGGUGAAGAAACGUACGAUGAUAUCGACACGGGGAACGUCCAGUCGAACACCCGCCCUGCCCCUGCCCCAAGUCUCCCCCCUGCUGGCAGCCAGGAGGAGCGGAAGAGCAGCCGAGAGGAGGACAGGGAUGACGAUGACGACGACAUCUACGAGGUGUUGCCAGAGGACGACUUUGCCAAUGGCAGCGAUGAGGCGGCUGAGAAGGGCCAGAGGUCAGAAUGGGCGGUCGACUACGCCAGCUACUACCAGGGCCUAUGGGACUGCGAGCCAGAUGAGCCGGACGAGCUGGCCUUCCAGCGCGGUGACCUCAUCCACAUCAUCAGCAAGGAGUACAACAUCCACGGCUGGUGGGUGGGGAAGCUCAACGGCAACAUUGGAAUCGUUCCCAAGGACUUCUUGCAACCUGCGUACAUCCUGUGAACAUACCGUGGUCUCAGGUACAAGGAAGACUGCAUGUGACACAACCUGAGUUCCAAACAUUGAUGAACUGAGAACUUUUUUAGCCUGUUACACUGACCACAUAACCGUAAACCAGAAGAGUGAACUAAUAACCUUUGCUGGAAGUGUUUUGCAUUUUAUGUUCUUAUUUUUUCAGCCUAAAUACAGAAAGUCUCUAUAGGAUCUUGAUGUGAACAGUAAAAUAGGUUGCAGCCUUGAUGAAACUGAUUUACUACAGCAUAUCUUUAUGCCAUGAACUCUGUGUUAUUGUUGAACUAUAGGAAAGGCCAUUACUCUGUAUAUGUGAAAUGAUCCUGAGAAAUUUGUAAAAAGGAGAUUAAAAAAUUAAAACUAUUACAAUCAUGUUAAUAUAGGCAAAACAGGUAGAACAAAAGUGUCUUUUAGAUCUCAUGGGAUGUUCAUUUUUAACAUUUCAAAGAUGUGAUGUCAGGUAUGGAUGUCAGGAACCAGAGAAAGGAAAGUUGUACUGUCUGUGAUCAUCCUUCUUUCCCCAAAAAUCAUAUUUUCACAAAAGCCACCAGGUGUCAGAAAUGUUCUGUAACACAGAGCUGUUCGUACCUGUGUGUGUGAGAGAGAAAGAUCCCAAAGGCUGUGGGUUGAUUAGAGAGCAUAUGACUGAGCUACAAUGAACAAUAUUUCUCAAAUGUUCCCUCCCUCCUUCAGUCGACACCACUAUUGAACAAAUCAGAGGCCCUUAUGAAAAUGAACCAAAGAAAAACAAACAAUGCCCAAAACACAGUACUUUCACUUGUAAUAUUUUGAGGUUUAAACAUUUUACUAUCAUAUGUAAGCUAUCAUUAUUGUCAACAUUAUAAUUAUACAAGCAUCACCCAAAUAACAUUUUUGUCCUGUCCUUUGUGUGUUGUGUUCUUUCUCAUGCGAAUUGAUUCACAGCAGUGUGAAAGUACCAUCCCCAUCCAUCCUUUGCUGAGCUGAGACCCAGAAACUGUGUCACCUCUCUGCAAAAUGGACACACGCAUGCUGUCAAGCUCUGAAUGACAAGGGCGGCGUGCGGAACACGACGCAAAGCCACUUCUCCAAGUAACUCCUUUUACCUGUGAUCGUGCACCAAGCAGGCGGCCAGAAGGACACAGCAGUCCACCACUUCCUGAUCGACAGAUGAGAAAAUCAUUGUCGCCCGGCAGCUUCAGUGAAGCAAGAACAGUGAGGGAGAGAGCGACUGAGGAGCUGACGCCGGAGACGACCCGAGAUGUCAGACAGAGAGAGAGACCAGGACCCUGAUCACAAUUCCCCGCUCUGAGCAACCCCCCCCACAAGAUACCCGUUUCCCCCCUUCCCCUUUUGUCUGCUGACCCUCAGAACCUUGAAUAAACUCGCUCUCGCUAGCAACCCUGGCGACUGUGCCGGAGUUUCUUUCUUACAAUGGUCAAUGCUUACAGAA